rnacentral:misc_RNA from 1 species
GACAAACUCAACCUACUUGUUUGAUCCCCAUCUCAAGCUUAUUCUCUCAAUAGGCAUAGAAAAGUUACUCUAUACCUACACCUUCCUCUAUACCUACUCCUCUCACUCUUUAUUUCAGAGCCUUUUGGGCAAAACCAAGCUUCAUCAACUUCAGUCUCAAAGCAAUGGCAAAUAUCAGCCAGCCAUUGAAGUUAGAAGCUUAUCAUCAUCAUCGUCAUCUUCUUGCGUCUUGUUCCCUUGUUCUUGCCCUUUGCUUCUUCUCUUCUGUUCCAGUCCAUGCCCUUAACAUUGGUGUUCAAAAAAUAGAUGCAACUGUCUCUGUGAGUAAAGAAUGCAGCAGGAAAUGUGAGUCUGAGUUCUGUUCAGUGCCUCCAUUUUUGAGAUAUGGCAAGUAUUGUGGGCUACUAUACAGUGGAUGUCCAGGGGAGAAACCUUGUGAUGGCCUUGAUGCUUGCUGCAUGAAGCAUGAUGCCUGUGUUCAAGCGAAGAACAGUAAUGUUCAUCCAUCUUUAACUUUUCACUUCAAAUCUACAAUUUAUGUAAAUUUACAGAAACCCCCCACUAAGGAAAUAGGUAUAACAUAGCUGCUGAUAAGGUCUAUUAUCCUAAAGAUAAAGUUAUAGUAAAAAAAUAUUAUUUUUAGUUUAAUGGUACUAAAAUUGUUCUUUUAAAUUAUAAUCAGAGUAAAUUAUAAAAUAAUAAUAAUAAAUAAACUCUAAUUUAUGAGAUUUGGUAUUUCGGUUGUUGGAACUUACUGUAUGGCAAGUAACUGAUUCAAUGAAUGACAGCUGAUGAUAAUAAUAAUAAUAAUGAUAAUUAACAUUAUAAUAAUUAUGUCGGUGGUUUUUGUAUAGGCUUCCAAAUAGUAAUUUUGUGGAUAUUAAUAUAUGGGACAUUGACAGCUAUAAAAGUGAGAUGAGUGUAUUAGUGUGUCUGACAGAGAGAUUUGGAUGGGUUACGUGUGUGAAAAAUGAUGAUUUAUUUUAUUGAAUUAAUUCAUAUAAAAGUUGUAUUAAAAUUAAAAUAAUUGAUAAUAAAAAUUGGUGUUGGUGCAGAUGAUUAUCUAAGCCAAGAGUGUAGCCAAAACUUCAUCAAUUGCAUGACAAAUUUCAAGAACUCAGGAGGGCAUACCUUCAAAGGAAACAAAUGCCAAGCUGAUGAGGUUAUUGAUGUCAUUUCCCUAGUCAUGGAGGCUGCUUUGCUUGCUGGAAGAUACCUUCACAAGCCAUGAUAUUGAAAUUUAUUUAACCCAAUCAAUUACCCAAAGCCAAUCAAAUCCAAAGCUCAAACAAUUUUCUGGGAAAGUUAGUUUUCUCUUCACUACUUUUGUUUUUAUUUGUAUUUUUUUUAAUCUUCAUUGGCUGAAUCUGGGUAAAUUUAUAAUUUGCUAUUAUUCAUACAUUCAUCUUCUUGUUUAAAUUUAUGUAUUUUCUUCAAUUAAUGAUCACUUUUCCUUCAGGAA